AUUGAACGCUGGCGGCAUGCUUUACACAUGCAAGUCGAACGGUAACAGGUUAAGCUGACGAGUGGCGAACGGGUGAGUAAUGCAUUGGAACGUGCCCGGUCGUGGGGGAUAACACUUCGAAAGAAGUGCUACUACCGCAUACGAUCUGAGGAUGAAAGAGGGGGACCGUAAGGCCUCGAGCGAUCGCAGCGGCCGAUGUCAGAUUAGGUAGUUGGUGGGGUAAAGGCUCACCAAGCCGACGAUCUGUAGCUGGUCUGAGAGGACGACCAGCCACACUGGGACUGAGACACGGCCCAGACUCCUACGGGAGGCAGCAGUGGGGAAUUUUGGACAAUGGGCGCAAGCCUGAUCCAGCAAUGCCGCGUGCAGGAAGAAGGCCUUCGGGUUGUAAACUGCUUUUGUACGGAGCGAAAAGGCUCCCUCUAAUACAGGUGGCUCAUGACGGUACCGUAAGAAUAAGCACCGGCUAACUACGUGCCAGCCGCCGCCGUAA
rnacentral:rRNA from 1 species